rnacentral:rRNA from 1 species
UACGAAGGGGGCUAGCGUUGUUCGGAAUCACUGGGCGUAAAGGGCGCGUAGGCGGCUUUAUAAGUCGGGGGUGAAAGCCCGAGGCUCAACCUCGGAACUGCCUUCGAUACUGCGGGUCUCGAGUCCGGGAGAGGUGAGUGGAAUUCCUAGUGUAGAGGUGAAAUUCGUAGAUAUUAGGAAGAACACCAGUGGCGAAGGCGGCUCACUGGCCCGGUACUGACGCUGAGGCGCGAAAGCGUGGGGAGCAAACAGGG